AUUGAACGCUGGCGGCAGGCCUAACACAUGCAAGUCGAACGAGUGGCGGACGGGCGAGUAAUGUCUGGGCAACUGCCUGAUGGAGCGGGAUCACUCCUGGAAACGGUAGCUAAUACCGCAUACCAUCGGAUGUGCCCAGAUGGGUUUAGCUAGUAGGUGGGGGAAAGGCUCACCGAGGCGACGAUCCCUAGCUGGUCUGAGAGGAUGACCAGCCACACUGGAACGGAGACACGGUCCAGACUCCUACGGGAGGCAGCAGUGGGGAAUAUUGCACAAUGGGCGAAAGCCUGACGCAGCCAUGCCGCGUGUAUGAAGAAGGCCUUCGGGUUGUAAAGUACUUUCAGCGGGGAGGCGUUACCCGCAGAAGAAGCACCGGCUAACUCCGUGCCAGCAGCCGCGGUAAUUC
rnacentral:rRNA from 1 species